UCGAGUUUUUCACAGAAGCCAAGAGAAGCUUCUAAGCUCCAACCCUAAUCAACCAAAUUUCAUCAAAUCAAAGGGGCAAAUCAAGCCCAAAUCGAAAUCCAAGCAUAGAUUAGUGAUCACCUCAGUGAAGGGAUCAUGAGGCAAGGAAUCCGGAUCCUCAAGCGGACAAGCCGGUGGAGACGCGCGUUGAAAGGAGCGCUCUAAAGGUAAUGUUGGACUCACUCUGGAUGGCGAUCAAGCAUGUUUACAAGAACCGAACACAACUUUUUGAAGCUUCCGCGCCUAAUUAACUUUGUUGAAAAUAAUGUCCAUGUUGUAAACACUUAACUUGUCAUUUUGGGAUGUUAAAACUAGUUAGUAGCUAACUCGAAUACUGUUAUUAUGAAUACUUCCAUUUUGUCUAACUUCAAGAAAUGAAGUAUUUUCUUUUGAAAAU